UCASRCCYCCUAACACAUGCAAGUCGAGCGAAGGGAGUACUACGGUACGAACUUAGCGGCGGACGGGUGAGUAACGCGUGGACAAUCUACCCUGUAGACUGGGAUAACACCAAAGGGGUSCUAAUACCGGAUAAUGUCGAGAAGCGGCAUCGCUUUUCGAAGAAAGGAGGGAAUCCGCUAUAGGAGGAGUCCGCGUCCCAUUAGCUAGUUGGUGAGGGUAACGGCCCACCAAGGCGACGAUGGGUASCCGGCCUGAGAGGGUGAACGGCCACACUGGAACUGAGACACGGUCCAGACUCCUACGGGAGGCAGCAGUGGGGAAUAUUGUGCAAUGGGGGAAACCCUGACACAGCGACGCCGCGUGAGUGAAGAAGGCCUUCGGGUCGUAAAGCUCAAUAGUAUGGGAAGAAAGAAAUGACGGUACCAUACGAAAGCCCCGGCUAACUACGUGCCAGCAGCCGCGGUAAU
rnacentral:rRNA from 1 species